UCACUUACCUGGACGGGGUCAAUGGGCGAUCAAGAAGGUCAAUGGCCUAGGUUGGUGACCUCCAUUGCCCUUCGGAGGGGUGUUCGCCUAAGGUCGGCCCAAGUGGUCGAGCCUACGUCAUAAUUUGUGGCAGUGGGGGCUUGCGUUCGCGCAGCCCCUAC
rfam:Helianthus annuus linkage group 8, whole genome shotgun sequence.